ensembl:lncRNA
CAGAGUUGUAACCAGGAAAUUGCAUAUAUUUUCAUAAACAAGGCUGUUAUAGAUUUAUUAAUAUUUGUUAAUAGCAUUAUUUUUAGAAAUUUUUUUAACGUCUUUCAACCCUGAAAGGGCCUGCUUGAAACAUACACGGCAGCGAAAUCACUGGAGUCCACAGGGUUUUUGUCACACACACAGAGCACAGAUUUUUUUGAUUAUGUAGAUUUCUUUUCCUACUGCAGUUUCAUAUGCAAAGCAUGCAUCAGCCACAUCCAUGCUAUCUCCUAAAGCAGUCAUUCUGAAACCCAAUCUGGGGACAGUGCAGACUAAAUAAAAUUUCAUUUUGAUUUGGCCUCCCGCUGCGAACGGGACUGCUUUGUCUCAGUCGACAGAACCAGCAAGCCAGAAAGAUUGAAGAACAAAAUGAAAGUUAGUUAAAGAAGACGUUGAAGAAACAAUAGUGUGAAAACAGCAUGAGAUGUCAUUUGGUAAAUAUGCCACAGCCUCGCAUAAGGAAGAGGAAAAUGGCAGUGUGGGCCAUGACUGGCAGGUCUGGAUCCAUAGACUGUGAUUUCCAGGAUCACCCAACAAACCAGAAAUCAAAGAAUCCUUUAUCACUGGAUCUCAGCCAGGUGCCACGUUGCAGGGGACAUAAGGAAGAUUAUGAUGGGACUCUCCAAGACUAAGGUAGCCUUCUUCAGCCUACCUUUGAAGCAUAUCUCUGUGCUUAGUGAUACAUUUCAGAUGUGUUUUUUAUUUCCAUGUGUAUUGUAUUUCUCUUAUGAAACACUUCCUGGAUAUUUGGACAUUAGUUUUGGUGGAUUGUCCACAGCAUUCAAAGUCUAGAGGGUAGAACCCUUUGGGACCAAAAACUCCACUAUCCUUUUCAAGCUUUCUGGGCAUUGAUGCUAUCCUUGGGUCUCAAUUGAGAUAGACAAGCCCAUCUUCAGAAAACAGGAUCCUGUUUGAGUCUGCUUUGUAUCCCUAUAAUCUGGAACAGUUGACUGCACACAGAAAGGAUCUUUGGAAUGCUUGUUGAAUAAAGGAAUGAUAUAGAGGCAGGCGGAAGCAACAGGGAGAAACCAACACAAAUCAAGCAAGAAUCCUAAAAUGAUGCCCUUCUCUGUAGUCAUCCCUUGGUCUCCACAAGGGGUUAGUUUCAGGACACCCUCCUAACUCCACUGACACUAAAAUCCAUGAAUGUUCACAUCCCAUAGUGAGUUCUUUGAAACCCACAGAUAGGAAAAUUUGGCCCUCCAUAUCUGUGGGUCCCAACACUUCAACACUGUGUUUCCCCUCUGGGGUUGGUUGAACCCGCAGAUACAGAAUCCAUGGAUGCAGAAGCCUCAGAUACAAAAGGCCAAGUGUAUUUACAAUAAGUGAUUUCACAUGGAGAAACUCGAACUGCUUGAUUUUAAACACGAUAUUUUUUGAAGAAAGAUAUUGAAACUAGGACAUUUGUUCUGCUAAGAAUGAAAAUGUAGAGUUGUCCAUGGACAGAAAAAUAUAUUUCAAGGGUGACUUAAGCAGAAAGGAAAAUUUGGUUCAGAGGAAUAAAGCAGUAUCAGGAGAAAAGAGCUUGGUAAGAGGGAGAGCAUUUCCAGACUGUAGAGGGUCACAAAACUGAUUUCUACCCAGGAAUGCUGAUUUUAUUCACUUGGCAAUUUUAAUCUGAGAAUCAUUAUCAACAGAACAGUUCUGAGGGAUGACUUAAAUGUUAGGCAUACAGUAUGAAUACACAUAAUGAUUUGAGAAACAUCUAUAUUGUUGCAAAUAUGUGAAGAGUCCACGAUUCUUUAUAAUUGAAUAGAUUUCCAUUGUAUGAAUACACUGCAUU